CCUACGGGAGGCUGCAGUAGGGAAUCUUCCACAAUGGGCGAAAGCCUGAUGGAGCCACGCCGCGUGGGUGAAGAAGGUCUUCGGAUCGUUAAACCCUGUUGUUAGAGAAGUAAGUGCGUGAGAGUAACUGUUCACGUUUCGACGGUAUCUAACCAGAAAGCCACGGCUAACUACGUGCCAGCAGCAGCGGUAAUACGUAGGUGGCAAGCGUUAUCCGGUUUUAUUGGGCGUAAAGGGAACGCAGGCGGUCUUUUAAGUCUGAUGUGAAAGCCUUCGGCUUAACCGGAGUAGUGCAUUGGAAACUGGGAGACUUGAGUGCAGAAGAGGAGAGUGGAACUCGAGGUGUAGCGGUGAAAUGCUUAGAUAUAUGGAAGAACACCAGUGGCGAAGGCAGCUCUCUGGUCUGUAACUGACGCUGAGGUUCGAAAGCGUGGGUAGCAAACAGGAUUAGAUACCCUGGUAGUC
rnacentral:rRNA from 1 species